rnacentral:rRNA from 1 species
UACGUAGGUGGCAAGCGUUAUCCGGAAUUAUUGGGCGUAAAGCGCGCGCAGGCGGUUCUUCAAGUCAGUGGUGAAAGCCCGGAGCUCAACUCCGGAAUGCCAUUGAAACUGUAGAACUUGAGGAUGAGAGAGGUGAGUGGAAUUCCCAGUGUAGAGGUGAAAUUCGUAGAUAUUGGGAAGAACACCGGUGGCGAAGGCGGCUCACUGGCUCAUUUCUGA